rnacentral:rRNA from 1 species
GUCCACGCCCUAAACGAUGUCAACUGGUUGUUGGGUCUUCACUUACUCAGUAACGAAGCUAACGCGUGAAGUUGACCGCCUGGGAGUACGGCCGCAAGGUUGAACUCAAGGAAUUGACGGGACCCGCACAAGCGGUGGAUGAUGUGGUUUAAUUCGAUGCAACGCGAAACCUUACCCACCUUUGACAUGUACGGAAGUUACCAGAGAUGGUUUCGUGCUCGAAAGAGAACCGUAACACAGGUGCUGCAUGGCUGUCGU